UGAGACGCAUAAUGUGUUCCAUAUUUCUAUGCUACGAAAAUACGUGUCGGAUCCAUCACACGUGCUGAACUAUGAAAGAAUGGAGCUAAAGCAGGACUUGAGUUAUGAAGUGCGACCAGUUCGCAUUAUAGAGAGAGGAACGAAGGAGUUAAGGUCCAAAAGUAUUCCUCUAGUAAAAGUUCUGUGGAGCAACCGUUCAGAAAGGGAGGCAACGUGGGAAAUGGAGGGAGACAUGAAAGAACAGUACCCCGAACUUUUUGGUAAGUCUAAUUUCGAGGACGAAAUUUCCUUUAAGGAGGGUAGAAUGUAAUACCCAGUUUAUUUUUAUUAUUAUUAUUAUUAUUAUUAUUAUUAUUAUUAUUAUUAUUAUUAUUAUUGUUGUUGUUGUUGUUGUGCGUGUGUGAUUAGAAAAAAAUGAUAUAUAUAUAUAUAUAUUAAAUAGUGAGAUAAAUAAAUAGUGAAGCAUUAGAUUAGUUAGUUAGUUUAAAAUUUAAAAUUUAAAUUUAAAUCGGCAUAAUUUUAUCUGAUUAGUUAGAUAUUUAUUUUUAAAUUUAAACCUAUUAUACGAUAUGUUAUAUACGUAUAUACUCUAUAACCCUAGCAGCCAGAUAGUAUCGUAUUCCCUUAUUCUCACCAUCUCUCAAUUUCCUUUUUUUUUUUAUUCUCUCUAUUGAACCAAAUCAAUUGUUUUAAUCUUAAGAGCUUCGGGGUUAGCAAUCAACCGAUCAUCGUUCCGUGUCUUCGAAAUCUUCAGGGCCUAGAAGGUAUCGUAAGAGUUAAUUACAGCGGAGUUGAGGUAAGGAAAAAUAAUGAUACUUUAUACUUGCUUUUUAUAUGGUUUGAGUAUCUAGUAUGACUGCUUGAAUAAAUUGUAUUGAAACUGUGGAAUGUGAUAGUUUCGGUGAAAUAGUGUUUUAUCGAUGAAUUGUAUAUGGUUGUUUAAUCAUGUUCCAGGUACUUGAAAGUGGUUGGAAACCACACAUGUAUGGUGAUGUGGUAAGUGAGGCAGUGUACGUAAGGGUGCACUGGUUAUUGGUACUGCGUUCUGGUUAAGAACGUAAGACACUCCAGAUUUGUAUGGAAGCUGGAGUGUGAUUGUGAGUGUGAGUGUGUGGUAUUUCAGUAUUUGUGUGGCUGCCUCUAUUUAUACUUAUGAUUAGGUUGUUGUAUGUUUGAUGUAUAUGUUUGUGCUAUGAUGUGUGAAUGCUGGUACAUAGUAUUGUGUUUUUCCUUACUGGGCUUUGCAGCUCACCCCUUAUUUACCCCCUAUG